rfam:Triticum aestivum genome assembly, contig: Triticum_aestivum_CS42_TGACv1_scaffold_320825_4BL
AUUGUACUCCCUCCGUCCGAAAAUACUUGUCAUCAAAAUGGAUAAAAAUGAAUGUAUCUAGAACUAAAAUACGUCUAGAUACAUCUUCUUUUAUCCAUUUUGAUGACAAGUAUUUCCGGACGGAGGGAGUAGUAC